UCCUCUCUCCCUCUCUCUUUUUAAAAUGAGGAUCCGUUCCUUGAAUGUUUUGUCAGAGCAGAACAUUGCUUCUUAAGUCAGAUCCGCGCGGUUGCAAUAAAGAGCAAAAAGAUAAAUAUUUGCUUUAAAGCUGCAAGCAAACUUCACCACACCUCCCGAUGAUGAGAAAACUGAGAAGUCAAGUGGCUUGAUCAAGGUCACACAGUUAGAAAAUAUCAGAGGUUGGAUUGAAACCCAAGUCUUUUCUUACUCCAGAUCCAACCCUGCUACAUGCUGCCCACAAAUUUAACCACUUCAGGACCUCUUUGAAAUCAUCUGAUUUGAACUAACUAUAGUCCAUAGAUUCAUCAUGGUGUGGAGUGGCAGCUCAAUGACUAUAUGAAAGUUCUGGUGGUUUCUACCAAUUGGGAAAGUCUCUGAGUAUAGGCUUGGUGAUGGAAUCUAUGUCUGCCAUCCAAAGACCUUCCCAUAAUAUGUUAUCUUCCCUGAGUAGAAUGUAAGCCCCUCGAAGAAAAAGUAAGUCCAAGAAAACCAGACUGGAAUAUUGCCCAAUAGUCAAUUGGAUGGAAUACCUGAGCUUGUCAUGUAAUGGAACUGGGAAUAAUGUAAAACAAAGAAUGUGUAGGUUAGUAGUUGGAUUGGAAUCUCACACAAUGAAUA